rnacentral:lncRNA from 1 species
GCUGGCGGCGUCUGCCAACCCCGGGGCGAGGGGCGCUUACGGGUGCUUUCGCUGGGACGCCGGCGCCUCCCAGCAGAAGAAAGCCUGUGAGUCAGUGUCAGCGUGCGUAAACGCUGAAUCCCGCGUUUCCAAAGUCCCCAGACAGGCAGAUGAGCCCCGAAGGGAAUGUGCCAAGAGUGACUGUAUCACGGGGUUUUGUCUCUGGGGUCUUCCUCUGCGUCCCUGAGAGGUCUGGCUUCCGCUCACCUUCCCAGCCUGGCACACGUUAGGAGCUCACCAAAUGAAUGAACGUUGUGAACCACCCAACUCACAAUGCCAUGUCACACUUCCUUUGUGUGCCUUCCACAAGCAGGAAAUCAUGCAUCGGGCCUCAGAUAUACAGCACCAAAGGGACUCCGCAGCCAACGACUCAGUCCAUCUGGGUGGUUCUGAUACAGCCCGAUGGUUGCCGUGAUUUGAGAGAGUUGAGAACCUUGAGAGGAAAAAGCCACUGCUCCCAAGCUCUUCCGCCAGGGUGACCGGACUCCGCCGAUCCUCACGCGCCCGGGACAGCCUCGUCUCCUUCCGCAGCUGGCCCGAGUCUUCUCUCCACACCAGCUGGGGUUGUUUCCUGUGGCUGCUGUCACAGGUGACCCCAAAGGGAGGGACUUGAAUCUUUCCUUUCCUCUUCCAGCUGCUGGUGGCCCCAGGUGUUCCUUGGCUCGUGGCCACAUCCCUUCGGUCUCUGCCUCUGUUCUCACCUGGCCUUCUCCUCUGUGUGUCUGUGUGUCUCCCGCUUCUCUAUUACCAAAUAAGGUCAUGUGCACAGGUUCCAGGGGUCACGACACGGGCACGUCUUUUAGGGGGCUACUCUUCGGUCCACAAUACCAACCACCAGCCAGAGGGAGCUUCCCGAAACUGGCCUUCACCCUGGGAGCGGUCGGUUGGAGAGCAGCGUCAUCCAAGUCCAGUCCCGUCACCUGUCCUUGGAACCUGAGAACGUCGCUCCGCUGUAACCCCUUCUUGCCCACCUCGCCCCCUCUCCUCCAACACCUCCCGGGCCUCCGAUCGCUCGCCGUCAGCGAGCCCCACCGCCUUCCUCUGGGUCCGCCUCCGGGUUUCCGCUGCCCUCUUCCCUACUGCCCUUCUCAGCUCCGCAACUCGGAAGCCGUGGGUGUCCGGAGGCGGGAAGUCCAAGACCAGUGCGCCGGGACAGUUGGCUUCUGGUGAGGACCCUGUUCCGGGUUGCAGAAAGCCAAGUUCUCACCGUGUUCUCACGUGGUAGGAGGGGCAAACCACCGUCUGGGGUUUCUUUUAUAAGAGUACUGAUUCCACUCAUGAGGCUCUGCCCUCGGGAGCUACUCAGCGGCCCCCCUCCGAAUACCAUCACCUCGGCCAUUCGGUUUCACCAUGCGGGUUUGGGAGGAGGGACACAUUCAGACCCUAGGCCCACCGAGGUCAUGUGCCACUUCCAAGCUGUCUCCUCCCAGCGACACCUGUGGCAGGUGACCUCCCUGUAAUGCAGGGUCUGGCUCCUUACUUUAAAAUGUGACAGCCGACAGCUUCGAAGCCUCAUCCUCCCUGUCCCUUGUGCCCCACACAUGGGCAAGCUGAUGUCAAAGCCUCCGGGCUCCCUUCCUCGGCAUCAGCGGGGAGUUCGCACCACCCACAGGAACCCCCGCCCCUGCUCUAGCUCCAAACACGACAGAGACACCCCCGCACCCCCUGCCCGGUCUCCUUUCCAUGUCCUCUCAAGUCGUCUUCUGACCACCUUGGGGACCUGCCGUGCGAUCCCAGGAAGCCUCAAUGUGUGAGUAAGGAACCUUUUCAGAACCUCUUGGGGGUGUGG